rnacentral:rRNA from 1 species
AGGACGAACGCUGGCGGCGUGCUUAACACAUGCAAGUCGAGCGGUAAGGCCCUUUCGGGGGUACACGAGCGGCGAACGGGUGAGUAACACGUGAGUAAUCUGCCCUCCACUUGGGGAUAAGCUUCGGAAACGGGGUCUAAUACCUGAUACGACAACUACCUGCAUGGGUUGGUUGUGGUAAAGUUUUUUCGGUGGGGGAUGUGCUCGCGGCCUAUCAGCUUGUUGGUGGGGUAAUGGCCUACGAAGGCUUCGGACGGUAGCCGGCCUGAGAGGGUGACCGGCCACACGUGGGACUGAGACACGGCCCAGACCUCCGUACGGGGAGCAGCGAGGUGGGGAAUAGUUAGGACAAGUCGGGGACGGAAGCCGUGAUCCGAGCCAACGGCCGCGU